CUUUUGUAGAAUGAACCGGCGAGUUACGAUUUGAUGCAAGGUUAAGCAGUAAAUGUGGAGCCGUAGCGAAAGCGAGUCUGAAUAGGGCGUUUAGUAUUUGGUCGUAGACCCGAAACCAGGUGAUCUACCCUUGGUCAGGUUGAAGUUCAGGUAACACUGAAUGGAGGACCGAACCGACUUACGUUGAAAAGUGAGCGGAUGAACUGAGGGUAGCGGAGAAAUUCCAAUCGAACCUGGAGAUAGCUGGUUCUCUCCGAAAUAGCUUUAGGGCUAGCCUCAAGUGAUGAUUAUUGGAGGUAGAGCACUGUUUGGACGAGGGGCCCCUCUCGGGUUACCGAAUUCAGACAAACUCCGAAUGCCAAUUAAUUUAACUUGGGAGUCAGAACAUGGGUGAUAAGGUCCGUGUUCGAAAGGGAAACAGCCCAGACCACCAGCUAAGGUCCCAAAAUAUAUGUUAAGUGGAAAAGGAUGUGGCGUUGCCCAGACAACUAGGAUGUUGGCUUAGAAGCAGCCAUCAUUUAAAGAGUGCGUAAUAGCUCACUAGUCGAGUGACACUGCGCCGAAAAUGUACCGGGGCUAAACAUAUUACCGAAGCUGUGGAUUGUCCUUUGGACAAUGGUAGGAGAGCGUUCUAAGGGCGUUGAAGCAUGAUCGUAAGGACAUGUGGAGCGCUUAGAAGUGAGAAUGCCGGUGUGAGUAGCGAAAGACGGGUGAGAAUCCCGUCCACCGAUUGACUAAGGUUUCCAGAGGAAGGCUCGUCCGCUCUGGGUUAGUCGGGUCCUAAGCUGAGGCCGACAGGCGUAGGCGAUGGAUAACAGGUUGAUAUUCCUGUACCACCUAUAAUCGUUUUAAUCGAUGGGGGGACGCAGUAGGAUAGGCGAAGCGUGCGAUUGGAUUGCACGUCUAAGCAGUAAGGCUGAGUAUUAGGCAAAUCCGGUACUCAUUAAGGCUGAGCUGUGAUGGGGAGAAGACAUUGUGUCUUCGAGUCGUUGAUUUCACACUGCCGAGAAAAGCCUCUAGAUAGAAAAUAGGUGCCCGUACCGCAAACCGACACAGGUAGUCAAGAUGAGAAUUCUAAGGUGAGCGAGCGAACUCUCGUUAAGGAACUCGGCAAAAUGACCCCGUAACUUCGGGAGAAGGGGUGCUCUUUAGGGUUAACGCCCAGAAGAGCCGCAGUGAAUAGGCCCAAGCGACUGUUUAUCAAAAACACAGGUCUCUGCUAAACCGUAAGGUGAUGUAUAGGGGCUGACGCCUGCCCGGUGCUGGAAGGUUAAGAGGAGUGGUUAGCUUCUGCGAAGCUACGAAUCGAAGCCCCAGUAAACGGCGGCCGUAACUAUAACGGUCCUAAGGUAGCGAAAUUCCUUGUCGGGUAAGUUCCGACCCGCACGAAAGGCGUAACGAUUUGGGCACUGUCUCAACGAGAGACUCGGUGAAAUCAUAGUACCUGUGAAGAUGCAGGUUACCCGCGACAGGACGGAAAGACCCCGUGGAGCUUUACUGUAGCCUGAUAUUGAAAUUCGGCACAGCUUGUACAGGAUAGGUAGGAGCCUUUGAAACGUGAGCGCUAGCUUACGUGGAGGCGCUGGUGGGAUACUACCCUAGCUGUGUUGGCUUUC
rnacentral:rRNA from 1 species